rnacentral:rRNA from 1 species
AACGAACGCUGGCGGCAUGCCUAACACAUGCAAGUCGAACGAGACCUUCGGGUCUAGUGGCGCACGGGUGCGUAACGCGUGGGAACCUGCCCUUAGGUUCGGAAUAACAGUUAGAAAUGACUGCUAAUACCGGAUAAUGUCUUCGGACCAAAGAUUUAUCGCCUUUGGAUGGGCCCGCGUAAGAUUAGGUAGUUGAUGGGGUAAUGGCAUACCAAGCCGACGAUCUUUAGCUGGUCUGAGAGGAUGCUCAGCCACACGGGUACUGAGACACGGCCCAGACUCCUACGGGAGGCAGCAGUGGGGAAUAUUGGACAAUGGGCGAAAGCCUGAUCCAGCAAUGCCGCGUGAGUGAUGAAGGCCUUAGGGUUGUAAAGCUCUUUUACCAGGGAUGAUAAUGACAGUACCUGGAGAAUAAGCGCCGGCUAACUCCGUGCCAGCCGCCGCGGUAA